CUGACGGUACCUAAAGGAAUAAGCACCGGGCUAACUCCCGUGCCAGCAGCCGCGGUAAUACGGAGGGUGCAGCGUUACUCGGAAUCACUGGGCGUAAAGGGCGCGUAGGCGGAUUAUCAAGUCUCUUGUGAAAUCUAAUGGCUUAACCAUUAAACUGCUUGGGAAACUGAUAGUCUAGAGUGAGGGAGAGGCAGAUGGAAUUGGUGGUGUAGGGGUAAAAUCCGUAGAUAUCACCAAGAAUACCCAUUGCGAAGGCGAUCUGCUGGAACUCAACUGACGCUAAGGCGCGAAAGCGUGGGGAGCAAACAGGAUUAGAUACCCUGGUAGUCCACGCCCUAAACGAUGUACACUAGUUGUUGGGGUGCUAGUCAUCUCAGUAAUGCAGCUAACGCAUUAAGUGUACCGCCUGGGGAGUACGGUCGCAAGAUUAAAACUCAAAGGAAUAGACGGGGACCCGCACAAGCGGUGGAGCAUGUGGUUUAAUUCGAAGAUACGCGAAGAACCUUACCUGGGCUUGAUAUCCUAAGAACCUUUUAGAGAUAAGAGGGUGCUAGCUUGCUAGAACUUAGAGACAGGUGCUGCACGGCUGUCGUCAGCUCGUGUCGUGAGAUGUUGGGUUAAGUCCCGCAACGAGCGCAACCCACGUAUUUAGUUGCUAACGGUUCGGCCGAGCACUCUAAAUAGACUGCCUUCGUAAGGAGGAGGAAGGUGUGGACGACGUCAAGUCAUCAUGGCCCUUAUGCCCAGGGCGACACACGUGCUACAAUGGCAUAUACAAUGAGACGCAAUACCGCGAGGUGGAGCAAAUCUAUAAAAUAUGUCCCAGUUCGGAUUGUUCUCUGCAACUCGAGAGCAUGAAGCCGGAAUCGCUAGUAAUCGUAGAUCAGCCAUGCUACGGUGAAUACGUUCCCGGGUCUUGUACUCACCGCCCGUCACACCAUGGGAGUUGAUUUCACUCGA
rnacentral:rRNA from 1 species